rnacentral:tRNA from 1 species
UGGGGAAUAGUGUAACGGUAGCACGACUGCCUCUGAAGCAGUUUGUCUAGGUUCAAAUCCUAGUUCCCCAA